rnacentral:lncRNA from 1 species
CCUGCUCUGUUCUGUGACCGUGCCCAGCUCAGCCCCCCCUGUCCCCUCUGCUCCCCCCAGAACCAGCACGACGAUGUCAAGAAGCAGCUGCUGGAGCUGCAGCUGCAGCACAACAGCCUCAGGCUGGAGCACAGGAGGAGCCUGGAGAGCCACAGCCAGAGGGUGGCCCAGCUGCAGCAGGACAGGGACAGCGAGGUCACCGGCCUGCAGGACACGGUGUUUAAACUGAGAGAAGAGAGCAAGCUGCUCAGGAAGGCCCACCUGGAGGUUCACUCCCAGCUCCUCAGUGCCCAGGCCCAGAUGGAGGAGUUCAGGCAGCUCAAGGAGGCUCUGCAGAAGAUGCCAGGCUUGAGAGGAGGAGGAGGAGGAGGAGGAGGAGGGAAGGGGCAGCAGCCCCUGGUGCCAGCCAGCAGCCAGCUGCAGCCAGGGAGGCACAAGGUUUCCCAGCCCAGCCAGGAGAUCCAGAGCCCCUCGGUGGUGCCCGGUGCCCAGCAGCUGCCAGGGCAGGGCUCCUCCAGCCCCAGGGGUGCCCAGCCCCUGGUGCCCCUGGGCCAGCCAGCCCCAGCCCGGGAUGCCAGCCACGCUGUCCCUGAGGAUGCCCAGCCCCAGGUGGCCCAGGAUGCCAGUCAUGCUGUCCCCAAAGAUGCCAGCUGGCUGCCAGGGGCCGUGCCAGCCUGGCCAGCGCGCUUCACCCGCACCAUGCACAGUCUGCCCAGCCCUGAGGUGAAGGUGGAGAUGCUCCCCCAGGUGAGGAGCCCCGAGCAGAGCCCGGAUCCUGCGCUGGCCCUGCCCGAGCCAGGGACAAAACCUGGAGCAGAAAACGGCGCAGAGGAGGGCGGGGAGCGCCCAGCAGGGAGCAGAGAGGGACCUCUGCAGAGGUUGGUGACACACCAUUCUUCCACAUGGGGGUUUUAAAAUUAUAUUUAUUACAUUACAU